UACGUAGGGUGCAAGCGUUGUCCGGAAUUAUUGGGCGUAAAGAGCUCGUAGGCGGUCUGUCGCGUCUGGUGUGAAAACUCAGGGCUUAACCCUGAGCUUGCAUCGGGUACGGGCAGACUAGAGUGCGGUAGGGGAGACUGGAAUUCCUGGUGUAGGCGGUGAAAUGCGCAGAUAUCAGGAGGAACACCGGUGGCGAAGGCGGGUCUCUGGGCCGUAACUGACGCUGAGGAGCGAAAGCAUGGGGAGCGAACAGG
rnacentral:rRNA from 1 species